rfam:Pteropus vampyrus cont1.67033, whole genome shotgun sequence.
AAGGACCCAGGAACUGGAGCCUCGGGUGGACUCUCUACUGGGUUGCUGCGGGAACCCAGAUUCGAAAAGCGUUUCCGGAGG